GUGCAGCAGGCGCGAAAACUUUACAAUGUGCGAAAGCACGAUAAGGGAACUCUGAGUGCCUCCUAAGGAGGCUGUUCUGAUGUCUAAAAAGCAACAGAAGUAAGGGCUGGGUAAGACCGGUGCCAGCCGCCGCGGUAACACCGGCAGCCCAAGUGGUAGCCACGUUUAUUGGGUCUAAAGCGUUCGUAGCCGGCCAGGUAAGUUCCUUGGUAAAUUUAGCCGCUUAACGGUUAAGCUUUCAGGGAAUACUGCUUGGCUUGGGACUGGGAGAGGUCAGAGGUACUCCGGGGGUAGGGGUGAAAUCUAUUAAUCCCUGGGGGACCACCGGUAGCGAAGGCGUCUGACCAGACCAGGUCCGACGGUGAGGGACGAAGGCUAGGGGCGCGAACCGGAUUAGA
rnacentral:rRNA from 1 species